GAUUUACAUUUGAGUGAGUGGCGAACUGGUGAGUAACACGUGGGAAACCUGCCCAGAAGCGGGGGAUAACACCUGGAAACAGAUGCUAAUACCGCAUAACAACUUGGACCGCAUGGUCCGAGCUUGAAAGAUGGCUUCGGCUAUCACUUUUGGAUGGUCCCGCGGCGUAUUAGCUAGAUGGUGGGGUAACGGCUCACCAUGGCAAUGAUACGUAGCCGACCUGAGAGGGUAAUCGGCCACAUUGGGACUGAGACACGGCCCAAACUCCUACGGGAGGCAGCAGUAGGGAAUCUUCCACAAUGGACGAAAGUCUGAUGGAGCAACGCCGCGUGAGUGAAGAAGGGUUUCGGCUCGUAAAACUCUGUUGUUAAAGAAGAACAUAUCUGAGAGUAACUGUUCAGGUAUUGACGGUAUUUAACCAGAAAGCCACGGCUAACUACGUGCCAGCAGCCGCGGUAAUACGUAGGUGGCAAGCGUUGUCCGGAUUUAUUGGGCGUAAAGCGAGCGCAGGCGGUUUUUUAAGUCUGAUGUGAAAGCCUUCGGCUCAACCGAAGAAGUGCAUCGGAAACUGGGAAACUUGAGUGCAGAAGAGGACAGUGGAACUCCAUGUGUAGCGGUGAAAUGCGUAGAUAUAUGGAAGAACACCAGUGGCGAAGGCGGCUGUCUGGUCUGUAACUGACGCUGAGGCUCGAAAGUAUGGGUAGCAAACAGGAUUAGAUACCCUGGUAGUCCAUACCGUAAACGAUGAAUGCUAAGUGUUGGAAGGGUUUCCGCCCUUCAGUGCUGCAGCUAACGCAUUAAGCAUUCCGCCUGGGGAGUACGGCCGCAAGGCUGAAACUCAAAGGAAUUGACGGGGGCCCGCACAAGCGGUGGAGCAUGUGGUUUAAUUCGAAGCUACGCGAAGAACCUUACCAGGUCUUGACAUACUAUGCAAAUCUAAGAGAUUAGACGUUCCCUUCGGGGACAUGGAUACAGGUGGUGCAUGGUUGUCGUCAGCUCGUGUCGUGAGAUGUUGGGUUAAGUCCCGCAACGAGCGCAACCCUUAUUAUCAGUUGCCAGCAUUAAGUUGGGCACUCUGGUGAGACUGCCGGUGACAAACCGGAGGAAGGUGGGGAUGACGUCAAAUCAUCAUGCCCCUUAUGACCUGGGCUACACACGUGCUACAAUGGAUGGUACAACGAGUUGCGAACUCGCGAGAGUAAGCUAAUCUCUUAAAGCCAUUCUCAGUUCGGAUUGUAGGCUGCAACUCGCCUACAUGAAGUCGGAAUCGCUAGUAAUCGCGGAUCAGCAUGCCGCGGUGAAUACGUUCCCGGGCCUUGUACACA
rnacentral:rRNA from 1 species